ACGCUCGACACCUACGGGAGGCAGCAGUGGGGAAUAUUGCACAAUGGGGGAAACCCUGAUGCAGCGACGCCGCGUGAGCGAAGAAGUAUUUCGGUAUGUAAAGCUCUAUCAGCAGGGAAGAAACUGACGGUACCUGACUAAGAAGCACCGGCUAAAUACGUGCCCGNAGCCGCGGUAAUCUGAGGCGGGCGUGGCAAGGC
rnacentral:rRNA from 1 species